UGCAGUCGAGCGGGGUUGUUAGAAGCUUGCUUCUAAACAACCUAGCGGCGGACGGGUGAGUAACACGUAGGCAACCUGCCCACAAGACAGGGAUAACUACCGGAAACGGUAGCUAAUACCCGAUACAUCCUUUUCCUGCAUGGGAGAAGGAGGAAAGACGGAGCAAUCUGUCACUUGUGGAUGGGCCUGCGGCGCAUUAGCUAGUUGGUGGGGUAAAGGCCUACCAAGGCGACGAUGCGUAGCCGACCUGAGAGGGUGAUCGGCCACACUGGGACUGAGACACGGCCCAGACUCCUACGGGAGGCAGCAGUAGGGAAUCUUCCGCAAUGGGCGAAAGCCUGACGGAGCAACGCCGCGUGAGUGAUGAAGGUUUUCGGAUCGUAAAGCUCUGUUGCCAGGGAAGAACGUCUUGUAGAGUAACUGCUACAAGAGUGACGGUACCUGAGAAGAAAGCCCCGGCUAACUACGUGCCAGCAGCCGCGGUAAUACGUAGGGGGCAAGCGUUGUCCGGAAUUAUUGGGCGUAAAGCGCGCGCAGGCGGCUCUUUAAGUCUGGUGUUUAAUCCCGAGGCUCAACUUCGGGUCGCACUGGAAACUGGGGAGCUUGAGUGCAGAAGAGGAGAGUGGAAUUCCACGUGUAGCGGUGAAAUGCGUAGAUAUGUGGAGGAACACCAGUGGCGAAGGCGACUCUCUGGGCUGUAACUGACGCUGA
rnacentral:rRNA from 1 species